GAUUCAAUUGUUAUCUUUGAGACUAACCUAUUGACAUUUGGGUUUUCAGUUGUAAAUCUUCUGCAGGAAAAUCAUGAGUAAUUAUAGUGGUAGUUCUUCCAUUGAUCCUGACUACAACAUGGAAGAGACAGAGUCGUCAUCUUCGAGGCCAGAGAGAGAACAGAGAGAAUAUGAUAGCUUCAGAAGAAAGGCUGAGAUAGCUCUAGGGAAGAGAGCAAUGACAGAGAGGUAUGAGCUUAUAGAUGAGGAUCUGGAAGACAAGUACAUGCCUGAGCAUACUCGGAGAGCCACCAAACUUCUGCACAAACCUGAUGUAUUGCCUGCUGAGGAAUAUAUUAGGCUCUUCAAACUGAAUGAGUUUUGUAGCACGAGGUAUCCAUGCUCGACCACACUUGCACAGCUCAGAUUGUUGGAGGAUGUUCAGCACCUGUACCAGAGUUGUCAUCUGGACACUCUGAUGGCGUAUCCAUAUGUAGCAUAUGAAGAAGAGACAAUUCAGUUCCUCUCCACAAUGCAAGUGGAGCUCUACCAAGGUAUGACCUCUGCUGAGUUGGAUUGUGAAGGAUUGGGAUUCUUGAGAUUUUCUGUGUAUAGUCAUGAGUAUAGGUUAUCAAUCAAGCGCUUGGAAGGAUUGUUUGGUUUCCCCAAUGGAACGGAAACUAAGCCCAAGUAUGACAAAGAAGAGUUGAAAGACUUGUGGAUUACCAUUGGCAGCUCUAUACCACUGAAUUCUUCCAGGUCAAAGAGCAAUCAGAUACGUAGCCCUGUCAUCAGGUACUUCCAGCGUUCUAUAGCCAAUGUACUCUACUCCUGAGAGAUCACAAGGACAGAAGUAAUUCUGAUAUGGAGAUGAUCGCUAUGGCUCUCAAGGGAACUCUUCGCGAAACUAAGAACGGCAUGUCUCUCCAAGGUGAAAUCAAUGACACACCUCUCUCUGUACUUUUUCUGAUCCAUCUGUGUGGAUACAAGAGCUGGGCUGUCGGCAAUAACAAAAGAGAACACUAGGCGCUCUGUGCAUAGGUGGUGUUGUGACACCGAUUCUGAUCGCUUGUGGAGUCACAAUCACAUCUGAUGGACUCGAGCCAUGGGCAAUGGAUAUCGAGCAUCUACGCCACUGCGAAUUCCUAGAGUUCGUAAUGGUUGGCGACUUGCACCGGUUCAGGUUUGAGCACUCUACAGAUAAGAGAGCUAACAUCCUUCUCCCUAGCCCUGAGGUUACACGGAUAAUAGAGGGAGAUAACAUUGAUUUUCGGCCUGAGAUUGGACGCCUCUACUAUGAGAACGCUCCGCCAUUGGAUGAGGAUGAUCUUCUAGGAGAGGAUGCUGAGGAUGGGAUGGAUGAAGACAGAGCAGUGGAGUUCGACACUAGCAUGUAUCACUUUGGUGAACAUGUACCUCCAGCGAGGGAGAGCAAGAGCUUGAGUGAAGCUCAUAGGAACAACAGUAAACUGCAGAAGUUGUGCAAGAAGCAGGACAAGCUGCUCGCCAAGUGUUUCAAGACGAUCAAGUUUCUGACAGAUAAGCUGAGUUGUUCCUCCUCCGCUACUACUAUUCCACAGGGACAGCCUCCUCUAGAGAUGCCAUCGAGGAGAUUUGAUGAGCCUGAGCACAGGCCUGAGCACAGGCCUGAGCUUAGUGAGCAGAGAGUCUCACAUGUCCCGGCUAGGCAUUCGUCAUUCGAAUCCCGGGAGCACAAGAGAAGGAGGAAGGCUACACUCACUCGAUCUAGCAGCAGAUCACACAUAAUUCACUCGAGGAGAUCACUUGACCGCGGUGCUGGCCGCAUCAGAAGAAGAGAGGUCGGGUAUCCUCAGAGCGGUGCUGGGCGCCACAGAGCUUAUGAGCUCGAGUACCCACCUGCUGGAGCUGAUACGGAACAGGGCGGUUCGUCUAUGGCCUGGGAGCAAUCACAGGCAGCCAUUGACGACCAACUCCGUUCAUUCUUCGACUGAGGUAAGCGCCUCACUUCACCAUCGUAUUAUAUCAUCUGUUGUGAGUUGUUCUUUACUUUGUUUCUUUGAUUGGAUUUGUCCACAGUACUCUCUUCCAAGUUUAUUCACACAGUGGACUGUGUGAUUUAAGUUUGGGGGAGGGCUCAGGAAGUGUGUGUUGCAUUGUGUAUAUUUUUGAGUCUGCAUUCAUCUAAGGCAUAGGAAAACCAAAAAAAAUUGAAAAUUUU
rnacentral:sRNA from 1 species